rnacentral:tRNA from 1 species
GCCUUGUUAGCACUGUAGGUAAUGUAUCAGUUUCAUAACCUGGAGGUUAUGAGUCCAAUCCUCAUAUGGGGCA